rnacentral:rRNA from 1 species
UACGGAGGGUGCGAGCGUUGUCCGGAUUUAUUGGGUUUAAAGGGUGCGUAGGCGGUUUAUUAAGUCCGUGGUGAAAGGCGCUGGCUCAACCAGCGAACUGCCAUGGAUACUGUUAGACUUGAGUGUGGACGAGGGCGGCGGAAUAGAUGGUGUAGCGGUGAAAUGCAUAGAUACCAUCUAGAACCCCGAUUGCGUAGGCAGCUGCCUAGGCCACAACUGACGCUGAGGCACGAAAGCGUGGGGAGCGAACAGG